AGAGUUUGAUCCUGGCUCAGGAUGAACGCUGGCGGCGUGCCUAACACAUGCAAGUCGAACGGUCUCUUUCGGGAGAUAGUGGCGCACGGGUGAGUAACACGUGGUUGACCUACCCCAAAGUAGGGGAUAACGUUCCGAAAGGAAUGCUAAUACCCUAUAAGCUCCCGGUGUUUAGAAGAUUGGGAGAAAAGUUCCGGCGCUUUGGGAGGGGACUGCGAACCAUCAGCUAGUUGGUGCGGUAACGGCGUACCAAGGCGACGACGGUUAGGGGACCUGAGAGGGUGGCCCCCCACACUGGAACUGAGACACGGUCCAGACUCCUACGGGAGGCAGCAGUGAGGAAUAUUGCACAAUGGGCGCAAGCCUGAUGCAGCGACGCCGCGUGGGUGAUGAAGGCUUUCGGGUCGUAAAGCCCUUUUCUAGGUGACGAGCAAGGACGGUAGCCUAGGAAUAAGUGUCGGCUAACUACGUGCCAGCAGCCGCGGUAAAACGUAGGACACAAGCGUUAUCCGGAGUUACUGGGCGUAAAGGGCGUGUAGGCGGACGUGUAAGUCUAUUCUGAAAGCUCCUGGCUAAACUGGGAGAGGCGAAUGGAGACUGCAUAUCUAGAGUGAGGAAGAGGAAAGUGGAAUUCCGCGUGUAGUGGUGAAAUGCGUAGAGAUGCGGAGGAACACCAGUGGCGAAAGCGACUUUCUGGUCCUUAACUGACGCUGAGGCGCGAAAGCAUGGGGAGCGAACGGGAUUAGAAACCCCGGUAGUCCAUGCCAUAAACGAUGUUCACUAAACGUUCGUUCUCCGCGAGGGGAGUGGGUGUUGAAGCUAACGCAGUAAGUGAACCGCCUGGGGAGCACGGUCGCAAGGCUAAAACUCAAAGGAAUUGACGGGGGACCGCACAAGCAGCGGAGCGUGUGGUUUAAUUCGAGGCUACACGAAGAACCUUACCUAGGUUUGACAUCGUAACGAAGACUGUGUGAAAGCAUGGUUGUCCCGCAAGGGACGUUAUGACAGGUGCUGCAUGGCUGUCGUCAGCUCGUGCCGUGAGGUGUUCGGUUAAGUCCGCAAACGAGCGCAACCCUCGGUGCCAGUU
rnacentral:rRNA from 1 species